rnacentral:rRNA from 1 species
CACGCAGGCGGUCGUGUAAGUUUGGGGUGACAGUUUCCGGCUCAACUGGGAAAGGACCUUGAAGACUGCAGGACUUGAGAGCCAGAGAGGGACACAGAAUUCCGGGUGUAGUGGUGAAAUGCGUAGAUAUCCGGAGGAAUACCAAAGGCGAAGGCAGUGUCCUGGCUGGUGUCUGACGCUCAGGUGCGAAAGCUAGGGGAGCGAACGGGAUUAGAUACCCCGGUAGUCCUAGCCGUAAACGAUGACCACUAGGUGUGGGAGGUAUCGACCCCUUCCGUGCCGCAGCUAACGUGAUAAGUGGUCCGCCUGGGGAGUACGGUCGCAAGAUUAAA